rnacentral:tRNA from 3 species
CGGGGUGUAGCGCAGCCUGGUAGCGCACCUGCUUUGGGAGCAGGGAGUCGGAGGUUCAAAUCCUCUCACCCCGACCA